CUAUUUAACUCCACUAACCAAGAAAAAGGCCUGCCGCCAGACAUGUUACUAGCCAACAUCAUUACAUUACCCAAGCCCGGGAAGCAACCCAAUGAAUGCAAAAAUUUCAGACCCAUAUCGCUGCUUAACGUAGACGCAAAGAUCUAUGCCAAACUGUUAGCCAACAGACUAUCCUCAAUCAUACCUACGCUAAUAGGGAGAGAUCAAGUGAGG